rnacentral:rRNA from 1 species
UACGUAGGUGGCAAGCGUUGUCCGGAUUUACUGGGCGUAAAGAGCGCGCAGGCGGUCGAAUAAGUCGAAUGUGAAAGCCCCCGGCUCAACUGGGGAGGGUCAUUCGAUACUGUUCGACUUGGAAGGCAGGAGAGAGAAGCAGAAUUCCCGGUGUAGUGGUGAAAUGCGUAGAUAUCGGGAGGAAUACCAGUGGCGAAGGCGGCUUCUUGGCCUGUUCUUGACG